rnacentral:rRNA from 1 species
UACGUAGGGGGCAAGCGUUGUCCGGAUUUAUUGGGCGUAAAGAGCGUGUAGGCGGCCAUGUAGGUCCGUUGUGAAAACUCGAGGCUCAACCUCGAGACGCCGAUGGAAACCAUGUGGCUAGAGUCCGGAAGAGGAGAGUGGAAUUCCUGGUGUAGCGGUGAAAUGCGCAGAUAUCAGGAAGAACACCCGUGGCUAAGGCGGCUCUCUAGUACGGUACUGACGCCGAGACGCGAAAGCGUGGGGAGCAAACAGG